CUCCACAGACAGCCUGAGAGCGGCAGGGGGGAGAGCUCUGUGGGACCCAGCAGCCCCAGCCACGGGACGACAGACGCGCCCGUGCCGGUGCCGCUGUUUUCCAAGGAGGGCGGAGAGCAGCGUUGGGUGGAGGGCACGCGUCUGGAGCCGGGUUUCGUCAGGUGCCCUGCUGGAAAGGGCGGGCUGACUGCAGGCCAGGGGCACAGUGGCUGGAGAGUGGCCCGCCCGGGCGUGUGUGGGUGAUCUCGGCGAGUGAGCGGCAGCCAGGCCCCCGCCUGCAGGGCACUUCUGCCCCUGACGCUCCAGUUCACGCAGCAGUUCUCGCUGGGAUCACAGACGAAGAAGCAGGGGCAGCCCGGCGGCAGCGCUGGCCUUUCUGAUGGCAGCUGCAGCAGCCUGGAGUCCAGGAGUCACAUGACUUUAAGUAAUGCCCUCAAUCACAGGAGAGGGAGGUUGUGCAGCUCACCCGCUGGGAGUUGUGUGAUCACUGAAGAAUCCCCAGGCGGAUGGAUGAGAGCAGCCUGGGAGAAGGCGCCCCCUUCCUUACCUGGGCCUGUGGGGACCGAGAGCUGCCCCCUGGGACAGCGCCGAGCGGGCCCAGUGUUAACUGCCUUGCGGUCCUCCACGUGGCUAAUUUGGAGGCCCCGGCUGAACUUUUUCUGUUGUUGCUAUCCGUUUCCCACCACAGAUGUGUUACCUUAAAGUGCUGUGGGCCAGAAGUCUGAGGCUGAAGGCAGAAUGAGGACUUUGAAGUUGCUCUGAUGACAAAGAGCAAUGCCACAGGCAGAUCUAUGAACCGCAACCGUCUCUAAUGCUGGUGAUGGUGGGGCCUCUCAGCUCAAGAGGACGAACAGAGAAGAGAGGAUGUGCUGUGAACACACUGCAGCACAGUGAGAAAACAAGAAGGCUGCAGUUAAACUUGAGGGUUAGUCUUGCCAUACUGGGAUGGGGUGCACCUUCACGGAUUUUCCUACAAAAUAAGGAACGCGCUUUUAGGUGUGGCUUGCACUCCUCCAAGAACAAUGGAGUGGGGCUAUUUAUAAAUCACAUUUGCUUGACCAUUUAAAUCACUUUUGGAGUGGUUUUUUUUUCCGAUGACUCUUCAUGUAAAAUUGGCUUUUACUGAACACCCAAAUCAGACACUGGCUCAGCAUAUGUCUUGCUCCACGAUGAUGAUGAUACGACUCUGAGCCCUGCUGCUUCCCAGCUACUUCCGCCUGUUUUGUUCUUCAGCUUCCGCAGGCCACAGUUGGUUUCUGAUCUCAUCCUGGGCCAGCUAUGGUGCCAGGUCGGGGAGGAAAGAGAACCAAGAUAGAAACAGGAAGGAGAGGAGGAAAAAGAAAAUAAAAGGAAGAAAAGAUUUGGAGCAGGAGAACUUCAAAUUCAUGUUCCUCCUACUGCAGCACCCUAACUAAUGGAAUUCAAUAAAAAACACUUGUUAAUUGCCCUUAUAAAUUUCUGCUGUGCCUGCUUUACAAGGUACUGUGAUCGUUACUGAGGCAAAAUCAAACUUUUAUGAUAGUCAGCUCAGAAAGCACCCAACACUGAAUAAAUGAAUAAUAGUGAAUUCUAGUUCUCCUAUUUUUUUCUGAAGCUUUCCAUUCAGUGUCAAAAGACAUCAGUAUCAAAUUAAUUCUAGUUGUAUGAGAAUAACCAAAAGAUUAUAAAGGUCUUGGAGUUGCUUGUACAUCAAAUAAAGAAUAGCUUUCACCAUAGUUAAGCCCAUUGUAUUUCUAGUAACAUUAGAAUUCACUGAAUGCAAACCCUGUGGCAUUAUAUAGUAAACCUCUUAAGAUAAUAUUACUGUUGAGGAAUUCCCACUGACUUUUCAGUGACAAAUACAGCUUCACAGAAG
ensembl:lncRNA